rnacentral:lncRNA from 10 species
CUCUGCUCUUUUUCCUCUGACUGGGGAUGCUCCAUAUGGGGGCUGCUCUGUCAGUUGAGGUCGUGGAGUGAAGAGGAGGCAGAGCAGAGCUACAGCAGACCCACAUGGGCCAGCAUAUUACCUUGAACCUCACAAAGACUGGACUAGGACCUGCAGACUUCUGUUCAGUUCCAGAUUAUUUGGAGUGGCCUGGGCACACAGUGAAGCAGAAGAAGAAAAAGAAGGGGAGCACCAAUAUAUGUCAGACACUGUGGUGGGAACUUUACCUAUGUUGUCUCUCUUAAUACCAACAAGGCAGCAAGG